GGAACGAGAAGCCAACACCAGGCUAAUCUCUCUUGGCACCCCGAAGCUGAAUUCUGAGCCGAAAGUAGCACUGGACUUUGAAAGUGGCACGUGCAAACCUAAAGAAUGAAGGGCUCCUUCAAAACAGGGCCUCAGGAGCGCCACAACUACAUGUCCCAGAAAGCCCUCGCGCGGAUUCUCCUUCCGGCUAGUUUCCCCUGACUUCCUGGCAGCCCCAGGCGCUUCGGACCGGGACGGAAACUCCGAGGUAACUCUUCACUCGUCAGAAAUCUUGCGUGUGGACAGAUUUCCGCACAUGCGCACUCGACGCCGCAGUGUCCACAAGACGCCUAGGUAGCGGGGAGGCUGGUGGGCGAGCCGCUGGUGAUAGGGACGGAUGUUGGAGACAGGUCCCUCUUUCUGGCAGUUCUCCCAUCUUGGAGAGGAUGAGCUCCAGCUGAUGUCUGUCACGUGGUACAAUGAGCCCAGUGUGGCCAGAGCUCCUGGAUUCACAAAAGAAACUGGAAAGCCAGAUUCUUAUGAAAAAUUCCCUUACACAGGCAUUCCCUCGGAGAUGGUACCAGACUACUGCAAUAAAGCAGACGCCUGUGGCUCAACAUGGAGAAAAGCCUACUAUUGAGCCCACGAGCCCAGACGUGGUUACCUUUUUGCGUGGCCGAAGCUUGUCCCGCCAUUCCUUCAGGUUCUGAUUAUGGCUCUCAUCUAGGGCCUUCAGCUUCUGGGUUUCAUGUUCUACCAGGAGGUGACACUUUUCAUUCUGGAACAAAUUCCAGGCAGAACAGGAGAGAUCUGUGUAAAGAUGAGGACAUGGACCUGACAGAGACACUCCCAACUUUAUUAUUCUCUGAGGUUUUUGGCGCCCCCACUUAAGUUUUUUGCUCCAGCUCCAGCCCAGCCCCUGCAGCUGCCUGAGGCCCCUUGGAUACAAAUGUCACCCCCAUAGACUGCAGUCUGGGAGCUGGGCUCUGAAGCCUGCAGCACCACGGACCACCCUUAGAAGCUGUUUGUCUGAAGACUGGGAGUGGCCUACUGGGGUUGCUGAGCUGGGAUGACAUACAGGAAGCUGCCUGCGAGCCAAGUCAACACAGGAAAGGAGAGCCCAAAUGACAGAGAAGUAGCUCCUCAUGACGCAGCUGGAGCACAUGAAUCCCGACACGUGGACGUGAGCUUUUCAGAUACAUGAGCUCCCCAGAGUCUCCUCUGUUGCUGAAGCGGGACUGAGCUGGGGUUUCGAUCGCUUGCGUCCUAGAGCCCCUGGCCUCCGCCCAGCACAUAUUCACCU